UCCUUCAUUCCACCGGAGUCUGUAACAUAACCAAUCAGAUUUCAGUGGUGUGAAGUGCA
rnacentral:pre_miRNA from 1 species